rnacentral:SRP_RNA from 1 species
UUGCUGUGAUGGCUUGUGGUAGAAGCGCGCCGACUGCGUACUCAAGAUCUAUUAUUACAAUUGAAGUGUCCGGUUCGAUCCCUGCGGUCGAGAAUUAGACGAUUCGAGUAAUCAAUCGCUCUAUUCUCAGCAAUGAGUAACAUUAUCACUGGAGGGAAGUAAUUCAGCACAGUAGGUUACCCGUGGUGGAGGCGAACCGGAUGGCACGUCGUUGGUUAUGUAAUAGGUUUGGAGUAUCUGGUGUUGCAACUCCGAUAUUUUUUAUU